rnacentral:rRNA from 1 species
CCUACGGGGGGCUGCAGUAGGGAAUAUUGGGCAAUGGGCGAAAGCCUGACCCAGCCACGCCGCGUGCAGGAAGAAGGCCCUCUGGGUUGUAAACUGCUUUUGACUGGGAAGAAAAGACCUCUUGCGAGAGGAGUUGACGGUACCAGUGGAAUAAGCCACGGCUAACUACGUGCCAGCAGCCGCGGUAAUACGUAGGUGGCGAGCGUUAUCCGGAUUUAUUGGGUUUAAAGGGUGCGUAGGCGGCUGAUUAAGUCAGCGGUGAAAGGUAGCAGCUU